rnacentral:rRNA from 1 species
UACGGAGGAGGCAAGCGUUAUCCGGAAUUAUUGGGCGUAAAGCGUCCGUAGGUGGCUCUUCAAGUCUGCUGUCAAAGAGUGGGGCUUAACCCUGCAAAGGCAGUGGAAACUGAACAGCUAGAGUAUGGUAGGGGCAGAGGGAAUUCCUGGUGUAGCGGUGAAAUGCGUAGAGAUCAGGAAGAACAUCGGUGGCGAGGGCGCUCUGCUGGACCAUAACUGACACUCAGGGACGAAAGCUAGGGGAGCGAAUGGG